GAUGAACGCUGGCGGCGUGCCUAAUACAUGCAAGUCGAGCGAACAGACGAGGAGCUUGCUCCUCUGACGUUAGCGGCGGACGGGUGAGUAACACGUGGAUAACCUACCUAUAAGACUGGGAUAACUUCGGGAAACCGGAGCUAAUACCGGAUAAUAUAUUGAACCGCAUGGUUCAAUAGUGAAAGACGGUUUUGCUGUCACUUAUAGCUGGAUCCGCGACGCAUUAGCUAGUUGGUAAGGUAACGGCUUACCAAGGCAACGAUGCGUAGCCGACCUGAGAGGGUGAUCGGCCACACUGGAACUGAGACACGGUCCAGACUCCUACGGGAGGCAGCAGUAGGGAAUCUUCCGCAAUGGGCGAAAGCCUGACGGAGCAAAGCCGCGUGAGUGAUGAAGGUCUUCGGAUCGUAAAGCUCUGUUAUUAGGGAAGAACAAAUGUGUAAGUAACUAUGCACGUCUUGACGGUACCUAAUCAGAAAGCCACGGCUAACUACGUG
rnacentral:rRNA from 1 species